GGAAAGAGGAGGAGUAAAGACUGUUUACCAACGAAAUACACAAGCAGCCGUAUCUAAGAUCCAGGACUUGGGGGUCCCUAACUUUAAAUAGUGGGGUGCACUGAUUGUUUGGGAUCCGCCUCAAGACUUCAGCCUAGGUCUACCUAGGUGAUACCUCUCAAAGACUGGAGCCAUUCUUGUGUCCAGGCCCAGGUUUGAGGCCGCGAUGACUCAACGCAGCAUCCCCUCCCCUUGCUAAACCGCGGUCUCCGCCUACCCCCAAUCAAUCUCAAGGAAGCUCUUUGGGAGCCAGGAUUCCCAGCACUUAGCUGGUGGGCAAAGGGGUUCAACCCCUUCCCCACACCCCACCUUCCCUCCUCCCAGUCUUCGGGAUUGCGGAGCUCCUGCCGGGAUCCAAGAGCAGGCUCUUGGAGGUCGAAGAAGGAUAUAACCUCCAGACCUGGAAUUUAAGACGCAAGAACCAGCCAGCAAAAGUGGCAGCCGAGCAUGCGAGGGACUGCUGAUGGCUUUUUAUUAGGAAGCUAUGCAACUUGAGGUUCUACUGAAAAGGAGAAGAGGCCACUGGAGAUGGGAAGCCACGAAAACAUGAAGAUGUAGAAGUCUCAGCUCCUUCAAUGCUAUGUCUGCCAAGAUGCUGCCACACUCCCUUCUUGAUGAUAAUGGACUGAACCUCUGAACCUUAUAUGAAACAUAGUAGACGUGUAAUAAAUGACCGUCCCCUGAGAUGCUCUAGGAUGCUCCAAAAAGGACCUAUUGGGAAACAAAGGCUGGGCAACCUCAGUUGUCUGAGAAGAGCAGGAGG
rnacentral:lncRNA from 1 species